rnacentral:tRNA from 1 species
UUUAAUAGAAGCCAAAAUAGAGGCGAUUCACUGUUAAUGAAUUAAUUGACUUUCCUAUUAAAU